rnacentral:rRNA from 1 species
UGUCCGGAUUUACUGGGUGUAAAGGGUGCGUAGGCGGCUUUGCAAGUCAGAUGUGAAAUCUAUGGGCUCAACCCAUAAACUGCAUUUGAAACUGUAGAGCUUGAGUGAAGUAGAGGCAGGCGGAAUUCCCCGUGUAGCGGUGAAAUGCGUAGAGAUGGGGAGGAACACCAGUGGCGAAGGCGGCCUGCUGGGCUUUAACUGACGCUGAGGCACGAAAGCGUGGGUAGCAAACAGGAUUAGAUACCCUGGUAGUCCACGCUGUAAACGAUGAUUACUAGGUGUGGGGGGUCUGAC